CCUACGGGAGGCAGCUGUGAGGAAUAUUGGUCAAUGGCCGGAAGGCUGAACCAGCCAUGCCGCGUGAAGGUCAGUGCCCUAUGGGCGUUAAACUUCUUUUGUGCGGGAGCAAUAAUGGUCACGUGUGGCCAGACGAGAGUACCGUACGAAUAAGCAUCGGCUAACUCCGUGCCAGCCGCCGCGGUAAUACGGGGGAUGCAAGCGUUAUCCGGAUUUAUUGGGUUUAAAGGGUGCGUAGGCUGUGAGGUAAGUCAGCGGUGAAAUGCCCCCGGUCAACGGGGUGAAGUGCCAUUGAUACUGGCUUGCUGGAAUGCGGAUGCCGUAGGAGGAAUGUGUGGUGUAGCGGUGAAAUGCAUAGAUAUCACACAGAACACCGAUUGCGAAGGCAGCCUACGAAUCCGCGAUUGACGCUGAUGCACGAAAGCGUGGGUAUCAAACAGGAUUAGAUACCCCAGUAGUC
rnacentral:rRNA from 1 species